CACACGGUAAACGAUGAAUGCUAGGUGUAGGGGGUAUCGACCCCUUCUGUGCCGGAGUAAACACAAUAAGCAUUCCGCCUGGGGAGUACGGCCGCAAGGUUGAAACUCAAAGGAAUUGACGGGGGCCCGCACAAGCAGCGGAGCAUGUGGUUUAAUUCGAAGCAACGCGAAGAACCUUACCAGGUCUUGACAUCCAGUAAAGCCUGUAGAGAUACAGAGUCCCUUCGGGGGUACUGAGACAGGUGG
rnacentral:rRNA from 1 species